GCAAGUCGAGCGAUGAAACACCUUCGGGUGUGAAUUAGCGGCGAACGGGUGAGGAACACGUGAAGAAUCUGCCUUCAACUCUGGGAUAACUCCGGGAAACCGGGGCUAAUACCGGAUAUGAGCCUUGAUCGCAUGAUCGGGGCUGGAAAGUUUUUCGGUUGAAGAUGACUUCGCGGCCUAUCAGCUUGUUGGUGAGGUAAUGGCUCACCAAGGCGACGACGGGUAGCCGGCCUGAGAGGGCGACCGGCCACACUGGGACUGAGACACGGCCCAGACUCCUACGGGAGGCAGCAGUGGGGAAUAUUGGGCAAUGGAGGAAACUCUGACCCAGCGACGCCGCGUGAGGGAUGAAGGCCUUCGGGUUGUAAACCUCUUUCAGUAGGGAAGAAGCGAAAGUGACGGUACCUACAGAAGAAGCACCGGCUAACUAUGUGCCAGCAGCCGCGGUAAUACAUAGGGUGCAAGCGUUGUCCGGAAUUAUUGGGCGUAAAGAGCUCGUAGGUGGUUCGAUACGUCGGAUGUGAAAAUCAGGGGCUCAACCCCUGACCUGCAUCCGAUACGGUCGAGCUAGAGUUUGGUAGGGGAGACUGGAAUUCCUGGUGUAGCGGUGGAAUGCGCAGAUAUCAGGAGGAACACCGAUGGCGAAGGCAGGUCUCUGGGCCAAUACUGACACUGAGGAGCGAAAGCGUGGGGAGCGAACAGGAUUAGAUACCCUGGUAGUCCACGCCGUAAACGGUGGGCGCUAGUUGUGCGAACCUUCCACGGUUUGUGCGACGCAGCUAACGCAUUAAGCGCCCCGCCUGGGGAGUACGAUCGCAAGAUUAAAACUCAAAGGAAUUGACGGGGCCCCGCACAAGCAGCGGAGCAUGCGGCUUAAUUCGACGCAACGCGAAGAACCUUACCAAGGCUUGACAUAUACAGGAAUAUGGCAGAGAUGUCAUAGCC
rnacentral:rRNA from 1 species